rnacentral:rRNA from 2 species
CUACGGGAGGCAGCAGUAGGGAAUCUUCCACAAUGGACGCAAGUCUGAUGGAGCAACGCCGCGUGAGUGAAGAAGGCUUUCGGGUCGUAAAACUCUGUUGUUGGAGAAGAAUGGUCGGCAGAGUAACUGUUGUCGGCGUGACGGUAUCCAACCAGAAAGCCACGGCUAACUACGUGCCAGCAGCCGCGGUAAUACGUAGGUGGCAAGCGUUAUCCGGAUUUAUUGGGCGUAAAGCGAGCGCAGGCGGUUUUUUAAGUCUGAUGUGAAAGCCCUCGGCUUAACCGAGGAAGCGCAUCGGAAACUGGGAAACUUGAGUGCAGAAGAGGACAGUGGAACUCCAUGUGUAGCGGUGAAAUGCGUAGAUAUAUGGAAGAACACCAGUGGCGAAGGCGGCUGUCUGGUCUGUAACUGACGCUGAGGCUCGAAAGCCAGUC